rnacentral:tRNA from 1 species
GUGGGUACAGCUCAGUGGUAGAGUGCGUGCUUAGCAUGCACGAGGUCCUGGGUUCAAUCCCCAGCACCUCCA